ACAGCAGUAGCCGCGGUAAUACGUAGGGUGCAAGCGUUAAUCGGAAUUACUGGGCGUAAAGCGUGCGCAGGCGGUUAUAUAAGACAGAUGUGAAAUCCCCGGGUUCAACCUGGGAACUGCAUUUGUGACUGUAUAGCUAGAGUACGGCAGAGGGGGAUGGAAUUCCGCGUGUAGCAGUGAAAUGCGUAGAUAUGCGGAGGAACACCGAUGGCGAAGGCAAUCCCCUGGGCCUGUACUGACGCUCAUGCACGAAAGCGUGGGGAGCAAACAGGAUUAGAUACCCCUGUAGUCCCUGUCUCUUAUAC
rnacentral:rRNA from 1 species